UAAAGAUUCAUCGCUGAUAGAUAGGCAUGCGUUCCAUUAGGCAGUUGGCGGGGUAACGGCCCACCAAACCGACGAUGGAUAGGGGUUCUGAGAGGAAGGUCCCCCACAUUGGUACUGAGACACGGACCAAACUCCUACGGGAGGCAGCAGUGAGGAAUAUUGGUCAAUGGGCGUAAGCCUGAACCAGCCAAGUCGCGUGGGGGAUGAAGGUUCUAUGGAUCGUAAACCUCUUUUAUAAGGGAAUAAAGUGCGGGACGUGUCCCGUUUUGUAUGUACCUUAUGAAUAAGGAUCGGCUAACUCCGUGCCAGCAGCCGCGGUAAUACGGAGGAUCCGAGCGUUAUCCGGAUUUAUUGGGUUUAAAGGGUGCGUAGGCGGCCUUUUAAGUCAGCGGUGAAAGUCUGUGGCUCAACCAUAGAAUUGCCGUUGAAACUGGGAGGCUUGAGUAUGUUUGAGGCAGGCGGAAUGCGUGGUGUAGCGGUGAAAUGCUUAGAUAUCACGCAGAACCCCGAUUGCGAAGGCAGCCUGCCAAGCCAUGACUGACGCUGAUGCACGAAAGCGUGGGGAUCAAACAGGAUUAGAUACCCUGGUAGUCCACGCAGUAAACGAUGAUCACUAGCUGUUUGCGAUACAGUGUAA
rnacentral:rRNA from 1 species